rnacentral:lncRNA from 1 species
GUAUCCUCUUUCUCUCCUUAAUUUCUUACUUUCUCUCUCUAAAAAUUUCUAUGCAUUAGUGGUCAAGCCCAUGUUGAUUAAUUGACCUUGGAAAAAGUCCUAGAUCUAUAGUAUUUGGGUAUUUUUCCAUAAUUUUCGAUCAUCCAUGAUCACUAUGAUUUUUAUAUUUGAUCCUAAUUAUGUAAAAGUAUAAUUGUCUGCACAAAAAGAUGUCAAGUGGAACAUCUUGACCCCGAGUUCUUAGAUUGAGAAGU